rnacentral:rRNA from 1 species
UACGUAGGGGGCAAGCGUUGUCCGGAAUCAUUGGGCGUAAAGCGCGUGUAGGCGGCUCGGUAAGUCCGCUCUGAAAGUCCAGGGCUCAACCCUCGAAUGCCGGUGGAUACUGUCGGACUAGAGUACGGAAGAGGCGAGUGGAAUUCCUGGUGUAGCGGUGAAAUGCGCAGAUAUCAGGAGGAACACCAAUUGCGAAGGCAGCUCGCUGGGACGUUACUGACGCUGAGACGCGAAAGCGUGGGGAGCAAACAGG